UGUGGGGCAGCAAAACCUCUGCAUCACGGCUGGAGAAAUGUGGAACAGCAGUGGUAGUUGUUGAAGGCAAAGCAUAUCAGCUUAAGUCAUCUGGUGGCAAUGUGACCACAUGUGAGAUACCUCAGCUGGAGUCAACCCAGGAAGAGACUGACACCCGGGUUGUUCUGUACCUGCAGUAUGCCGCUCAACUUGGGCACAAGGCGGUUGUGGUGAGGACCCCAGACACAGACAUUUUCUUCAUCCUCCUGCACCACGCACAAUCCAUCCCGCUGACCAUCUACGUCGACAUUGGGACCGGAAAGCACAGGCGGAUACUAAAUGUCAGCGAACUGGCAGAAUCUAAGGGGGCAGACUACUGCACAACAGUACUCGGCCUAUACGUCUUCACGGGGGAAGACGUUACAAGUACCUUUAGAGGCAAAGGGAAGGUUGGGCAUCUGAAAAAGCUGCAGAGUAAUCCAAAGUAUCAUGCAGCCUUCAGAAAACUUGGUGAUCAGUGGUCUGUGGAACCGGAUGUGGUGGAGGACAUCGAGGCAUUUACAUGUGUAAUGUAUGGCCAGGCCCGUGAAAAAUCUGUGAACAACGUGCGCAGCAUCAUGCUGAAGAAAAUGAGAGGAUGACACGCUUACCACCAGAUCCAAGGUGGAUCUGUCCCGGCUCCCACCCUGCAGAGACAACCUGGUCCCACAUAUCAACCGUGUCAACCACCGUCUGGCCAUCUACAAGAGAGCAGCCAAACCGAUAUUCUGGUGUCCCAAGCCCCAUGAUCCUGGCCAAGGCUGGGAAAAGACUGAAGAGGGUACCCUGGAACCAGUGUGGUCUUGUGGCCCUAUCCUUCCCACUUCACUCAAUGACUUGCUGGAGAAAACAGUCGAGGAGAUGGAUGGAGAUGGUGAAGAAGACGAGGAGCAAGAGAUUGAUUAUGAAGACCUGCUGAAUGAUGAAUAGAC
ensembl:lncRNA